AUGAACGCUGGCGGCGUGCCUAAUACAUGCAAGUCGAGCGAACAGGCGAGGAGCUUGCUCCUCUGACGUUAGCGGCGGACGGGUGAGUAACACGUGGAUAACCUACCUAUAAGACUGGGAUAACUUCGGGAAACCGGAGCUAAUACCGGAUAAUAUAUUGAACCGCAUGGUUCAAUAGUGAAAGACGGUUUUGCUGUCACUUAUAGAUGGAUCCGCGCCGCAUUAGCUAGUUGGUAAGGUAACGGCUUACCAAGGCAACGAUGCGUAGCCGACCUGAGAGGGUGAUCGGCCACACUGGAACUGAGACACGGUCCAGACUCCUACGGGAGGCAGCAGUAGGGAAUCUUCCGCAAAGGGCGAAAGCCUGACGGAGCAACGCCGCGUGAGUGAUGAAGGUCUUCGGAUCGUAAAACUCUGUUAUUAGGGAAGAACAAAUGUGUAAGUAACUAUGCACGUCUUGACGGUACCUAAUCAGAAAGCCACGGCUAACUACGUG
rnacentral:rRNA from 1 species